CCUACGGGAGGCAGCAGUGAGGAAUAUUGGUCAAUGGACGCGAGUCUGAACCAGCCAAGCAGCGUGCAGGAUGACUGCCCUAUGGGUUGUAAACUUCUUUUAUAUGGGAAUAAAACAGGGUAUGCAUACCAUCUUGUAUGUACCAUAUGAAUAAGGAUCGGCUAACUCCGUGCCAGCAGCCGCGGUAAUACGGAGGAUUCAAGCGUUAUCCGGAUUUCUUGGGUUUAAAGGGUGCGUAGGUGGAUUGUUAAGUCAGUUGUGAAAGUUUGCGGCUCAACCGUAGAAGUGCAGUUGAAACUGGCAGUCUUGAGUACAGUAGAGGUAGGCGGAAUGCGUGGUGUAGCGGUGAAAUGCUUAGAGAUCACGAAGAACACCGAUUGCGAAGGCAGCUCACUGGACUGCAACUGACACUGAGGCACGAAAGUGUGGGUAUCAAACAGGAUUAGAUACCCUGGUAGUC
rnacentral:rRNA from 1 species